GCUGAUUUGCCCCCACCGAGGUCGAGAGCGAUGAGACCUCUAGGGUGGUGGUUGAUCACGGUGGCGGCGCUCCGCCUCGCCUCCGCCUGGUCUGGCUUCUUCGACAUCAGGGCCCUGCAACAGAUAGUCUUCUCCAAAACCCCUAUGACCGAUGUUCAUGGAAGAACAUUUGGAGUCUGGACACUUUUGACCUGCACACUAUGUGUUCUUUGUGCGUUCAACCUCGAGAAUAAGCCUCUGUAUCUUACCACCUUUCUGUCAUUCGUAUACGCCUUGGGUCAUUUUCUAACUGAAUAUCUGAUAU
rnacentral:misc_RNA from 1 species